rnacentral:rRNA from 1 species
GCAUACGUCCUACGGGAGAAAGGGGGCUCCGGCUCCCGCUAUUGGAUGAGCCUAUGUCGGAUUAGCUAGUUGGUGAGGUAAUGGCUCACCAAGGCAACGAUCCGUAGCUGGUCUGAGAGGAUGAUCAGCCACAUCGGGACUGAGACACGGCCCGAACUCCUACGGGAGGCAGCAGUGGGGAAUAUUGGACAAUGGGCGAAAGCCUGAUCCAGCCAUGCCGCGUGUGUGAAGAAGGCCCUCGGGUUGUAAAGCACUUUCAGCGAGGAAGAACGCCUAGUGGUUAAUACCCAUUAGGAAAGACAUCACUCGCAGAAGAAGCACCGGCUAACUCCGUGCCAGCAGCCGCGGUAAUACGGAGGGUGCAAGCGUUAAUCGGAAUUACUGGGCGUAAAGCGCGCGUAGGUGGCUUGAUAAGCCGGUUGUGAAAGCCCCGGGCUCAACCUGGGAACGGCAUCCGGAACUGUCAAGCUAGAGUGCAGGAGAGGAAGGUAGAAUUCCCGGUGUAGCGGUGAAAUGCGUAGAGAUCGGGAGGAAUACCAGUGGCGAAGGCGGCCUUCUGGACUGACACUGACACUGAGGUGCGAAAGCGUGGGUAGCAAACAGGAUUAGAUACCCUGGUAGUCCACGCCGUAAACGAUGUCGACCAGCCGUUGGGUGCCUAGCGCACUUUGUGGCGAAGUUAACGCGAUAAGUCGACCGCCUGGGGAGUACGGCCGCAAGGUUAAAACUCAAAUGAAUUGACGGGGGCCCGCACAAGCGGUGGAGCAUGUGGUUUAAUUCGAUGCAACGCGAAGAACCUUACCUACUCUUGACAUCCUGCGAACUUGUGAGAGAUCACUUGGUGCCUUCGGGAACGCAGAGACAGGUGCUGCAUGGCUGUCGUCAGCUCGUGUUGUGAAAUGUUGGGUUAAGUCCCGUAACGAGCGCAACCCUUGUCCUUAUUUGCCAGCGGGUAAUGCCGGGAACUCUAAGGAGACUGCCGGUGACAAACCGGAGGAAGGUGGGGACGACGUCAAGUCAUCAUGGCCCUUACGAGUAGGGCUACACACGUGCUACAAUGGCCGGUACAAAGGGUUGCGAGCUCGCGAGAGUCAGCUAAUCCCGAAAAGCCGGUCUCAGUCCGGAUCGGAGUCUGCAACUCGACUCCGUGAAGUCGGAAUCGCUAGUAAUCGUGAAUCAGAAUGUCACGGUGAAUACGUUCCCGGGCCUUGUACACACCGCCCGUCACACCAUGGGAGUGGACUGCACCAG